rnacentral:rRNA from 1 species
GACGAACGCUGGCGGCGUGCUUAACACAUGCAAGUCGAGCGGAGCGGCGAACGGGUGAGUAACGCGUGAGUAACUGCCCCCCUCUCUGGGAUAACAGCUGGAAACGGCUGCUAAUACCGGAUAGUGGGGGAUGACUCGGGUCCAAUCAGCUUGUGGGUGGGGUAGUGGCCUACCAGGGGGACGACGGGUAGCCGGCCUGAGAGGGCGACCGGCCACAUUGGGCUGAGAGACGGCCCAAACGCCUACGGGCGGCAGCAGUGGAGAAUAUUGCACAAUGGGGGAAACCCUGAUGCAGCAGCGCCGCGUGCGGAAUGACGGCCUUCUGGUGGUAAACCGCUUUCAGCGAUGACGCGGUAGUGGCAGAAGAAGCACCGGCUAACUACGUGCCAGCAGCCGCGGUAAUAC